GAUGUACACUGAAAAAAAGGGACUGGCCAUCUCUUGGAUUUAUGUGAAGUAAGUCAAUAAGAUAGCAACGUUAAAUCUCGUGAAACCACGCGUGAUUUCAUCUCGCGGGCUUUGGAUCGUGGUUCAAAAAAGGCAUCCAUCUCAGUCAAGUCGAGCAGCCAACUCUACGUUUUUGGUAUGUCUUGAUUUUUUGAAUUAAUAUUUACCAUAUUUCAGCCAAAUGUAGUUAAACGUCUAGAGUGUCGCCAUGUAACAUGCUAAAAAAGAGCCAUUAGCUUAUUUGCUGUUUUAUCUGUUGUCAAAGAAUUGGCGCUUUUUCAUUUGAAUUUGUCUUUGGCACAAGAGCCGUAAUAUCACAUUAAACCUAAUUAUGAGGCACUCAUAACAUAAUUUGGUUUUCUGUGUGAAUAGAUUUGCCAACUGACUCUUCAGUUACAUUGUGUAUUUACUGCACCGUGGUGUUAGUGAGAUUUUGGACAUUGAACAGCUUUAGCUAAUAUCAUUAGCGGCAUUAUGCUAGCUUACAUCCCUACCCCUCCUGCCCUCACCUGCUGUCCUUUUCUUUUUGUUUUUUUUGCUGCACAUUGAGAGACCACAUCUAUUCUGCAUUUCACCAGGAGUCAGCUGAUGGAUUGUGGGUUCAAGGUGUUAUGAUAAAAUGCAGCAUUCCAGUGCAUCCCAACCAUGCCUUUACAGUCAAGGUUUCUGACGGAGCUGAGUUUCUCUCUGACAGUCUGCUGAAAGUGUUUGCAAAGUGAUCGGGGGAACAGUGCACAAAGCUAAAGGAUGUAGCUGCCAUGAUGACAGAUGACAUUAAUGCUCAAAGGGGGUC
ensembl:lncRNA